rnacentral:rRNA from 3 species
UGGGGAAUCUUCCGCAAUGGGCGAAAGCCUGACGGAGCAACGCCGCGUGAAUGAAGAAGGCCUUCGGGUUGUAAAAUUCUGUCUUCAGGGAAGAAAAAAAUGACGGUACCUGAGGAGGAAGCCCCGGCUAACUACGUGCCAGCAGCCGCGGUAAAACGUAGGGGGCGAGCGUUGUCCGGAAUUACUGGGCGUAAAGGGCGCGUAGGCGGUUUAAUAAGUCUCGAGGUGAAAACUAUCGGCUCAACCGGUAGCGUGCCUGAGAAACUGUUAGACUUGAGGGCAGGAGAGGGGAGUGGAAUUCCCAGUGUAGCGGUGAAAUGCGUAGAUAUUGGGAGGAACACCAGUGGCGAAGGCGGCUCUCUGGCCUGUUACUGACGCUGAGGCGCGAAAGCGUGGGGAGCGAACGGG